CAGUCGCCGCGGUAAUACGAGGGGGGCAAGCGUUGUUCGGAAUUAUUGGGCGUAAAGGGCGCGUAGGCGGUUUGGCAAGUUUGGUGUGAAAUCUUCGGGCUCAACUCGAAGUCUGCAUCGAAAACUGCCGGGCUUGAGUAUGGGAGAGGUGAGUGGAAUUUCCGGUGUAGCGGUGAAAUGCGUAGAUAUCGGAAGGAACACCUGUGGCGAAAGCGGCUCACUGGACCAUGACUGACGCUGAGGCGCGAAAGCUAGGGGAGCAAACAGGAUUAGAUACCCCCGUAGUCCCUGUCUCUUAUAC
rnacentral:rRNA from 1 species